rnacentral:rRNA from 1 species
UACGUAGGGGGCAAGCGUUGUCCGGAAUCAUUGGGCGUAAAGCGCGUGUAGGCUGCUCUGCAAGUCGGAUGUGAAAGCCCGGGGCUCAACCUCGGAAUUGCCUUCGAUACUGGGUAUCUUGAGUUCGGGAGAGGUGAGUGGAAUGCCGAGUGUAGAGGUGAAAUUCGUAGAUAUUCGGCGGAACACCAGUGGCGAAGGCGACUCACUGGCCCGAUACUGACGCUGAUGCGCGAAAGCGUGGGGAGCAAACAGG